rnacentral:rRNA from 1 species
AUUGAACGCUGGCGGCAGGCCUAACACAUGCGAGUCGAGCGGAUGAAGGGAGCUUGCUCCUGGAUUCAGCGGCGGACGGGUGAGUAAUGCCUAGGAAUCUGCCUGGUAGUGGGGGAUAACGUCCGGAAACGGGCGCUAAUACCGCAUACGUCCUGAGGGAGAAAGUGGGGGAUCUUCGGACCUCACGCUAUCAGAUGAGACUAGGUCGGAUUAGCUAGUUGGUGGGGUAAAGGCCUACCAAGGCGACGAUCCGUAACUGGUCUGAGAGGAUGAUCAGUCACACUGGAACUGAGACACGGUCCAGACUCCUACGGGAGGCAGCAGUGGGGAAUAUUGGACAAUGGGCGAAAGCCUGAUCCAGCCAUGCCGCGUGUGUGAAGAAGGUCUUCGGAUUAUAAAGCACUUUAAGUUGGGAGGAAGGGCAGUAAGUUAAUACCUUGCUGUUUUGACGUUACCAACAGAAUAAGCACCGGCUAACUUCGUG